rnacentral:rRNA from 1 species
GACGAACGCUGGCGGCGUGCUUAACACAUGCAAGUCGAGCGGUAAGGCCCUUUCGGGGGGUACACGAGCGGCGAACGGGUGAGUAACACGUGGGUGACCUGCCCUCAGCUCUGGGAUAAGCCCGGGAAACUGGGUCUAAUACUGGAUAUGACUCCACGGUGCAUGCCGUGGGGUGGAAAGCCUUGUGCGGCUGAGGAUGGGCCCGCGGCCUAUCAGCUUGUUGGUGGGGUGAUGGCCUACCAAGGCGACGACGGGUAGCCGGCCUGAGAGGGCGACCGGCCACACUGGGACUGAGACACGGCCCAGACUCCUACGGGAGGCAGCAGUGGGGAAUCUUGCGCAAUGGGCGAAAGCCUGACGCAGCGACGCCGCGUGAGGGAUGACGG